rfam:Triticum aestivum genome assembly, contig: Triticum_aestivum_CS42_TGACv1_scaffold_577604_7BL
AUUGUACUCCCUCCGUCCGAAAAUACUUGUCGGAGGAAUGGAUAUAUGUAGACGUAUUUUAAUUCUAGAUACAUCUAUUUUUAUGCAUUUCUCCGACAAGUAUUUCUGACGGAGGGAGUAUUUG